UCCCUGCUGGUUCAGACGGUAAAGUGUCUGCCUGCAAUGCGGGAGACCUGGGUUUGAUCCCUGGGUAGGGAA
rfam:Ovis aries breed Texel chromosome 1, whole genome shotgun sequence.